AUCUAAAUCUCCCUCUGAACGAUAGUCACACUCCUUCAGAGAGCUCACCAUGGCCUGGCCCCUGCUUUUCCUGGCGCUUCUCGGCUAUUUUUCAGGUAAGGGCACGGAAGAUUCAGUUGACCUAAGACAACGUCAAAGCUAUUUCCACGAUUUACCUAUCAUAGGAACAUCAUGCAUCUGUGAUAUCUGAAAGCAUAGAAAAUGUACUCAAGGCAUGAUUUCUGUGCUUUUUCUGUUUGUAAAGGUGUCCAUUCACAGCCAACGGUGACUCAGCUGGUCUCCCAGUCUGUGUCUCCGGGCCAAACUGUGAAACUCUCCUGCACCCGAAAUGGUGGCAGUAGCUGGGGUUCAUUUCACUGGUAUCAGCAGAAACCUGGAGAGGCACCUCGUUUUCUGUGGUAUGGCUCCAGCACCCGGGGAGAAGGGGUCCCAGAUCGCUUCACUGGCUCAGAGUCUGGGAAUAUGGGGUAUUUAACGAUCUCCAACACCCAGGCUGAAGAUGAGGCAGUUUAUUACUGCUGUAACUAUGAGAGCAGUGUGAAGUUC